GACAGCAGCCGCCGCGGUAACACGUAGGGUGCAAGCGUUAAUCGGAAUUACUGGGCGUAAAGCGUGCGCAGGCGGUUUGUUAAGACAGAUGUGAAAUCCCCGGGCUCAACCUGGGAACUGCAUUUGUGACUGGCAAGCUAGAGUGUGGCAGAGGGGGGUGGAAUUCCGCGUGUAGCAGUGAAAUGCGUAGAUAUGCGGAGGAACACCGAUGGCGAAGGCAGCCCCCUGGGCCAACACUGACGCUCAUGCACGAAAGCGUGGUGAGCAAACAGGAUUAGAUACCCGUGUAGUCCCUGUCUCUUAUAC
rnacentral:rRNA from 1 species